UAUUGGCCAAUGGGCGAGAGCCUGAACCAGCCAAGUCGCGCGAAGGAUGACGGCCCUACGGGNUGUAAACUUCUUUUGUCAGGGANNCCNNNGNUCCACGUGUGGGCUUAGCGAGAGUACCUGAAGAAAANNNANANGCUAACUCCGUGCUAGCAGCCGCGGUAAUACGGAGGAUGCGAGCGUUAUCCGGAUUUAUUGGGUUUAAAGGGUGCGUAGGCGGAAUAUCAAGUCAGCGGUAAAAAUUCGGGGCUCAACCCCGUCGUGCCGUUGAAACUGAUGUUCUUGAGUGGGCGAGAAGUAUGCGGAAUGCGUGGUGUAGCGGUGAAAUGCAUAGAUAUCACGCAGAACUCCGAUUGCGAAGGCAGCAUACCGGCGCCCAACUGACGCUGAAGCACGAAAGCGUGGGUAUCGAACAGG
rnacentral:rRNA from 1 species